GACCAGACUCCUACGGGAGGCAGCAGUGGGGGAUAUUGCACAAUGGGGGGAACCCUGAUGCAGCGACGCCGCGUGGGUGAAGGAGCGUUUCGGCGCGUAAAGCCCUCUCGGCAGGGAAGAAGGAGGACGGUACCUGACUAAGAAGCCCCGGCUAACUACGUGCCAGCAGCCGCGGUAAUACGUAGGGGGCAAGCGUUAUCCGGAUUUACUGGGUGUAAAGGGGGCGCAGACGGCAUAGCAAGUCUGAAGUGAAAGCCCGUGGCUCAACCGCGGAACUGCUUUGGAAACUGUUAAGCUGGAGUACUGGAGAGGCAAGCGGAAUUCCUAGUGUAGCGGUGAAAUGCGUAGAUAUCUGGAGGAACAUCAGUGGCGAAGGCGACUAUCUGGCACAUAACUGACGCUGAGGAGCGAAAGCGUGGGUAGCAAACAGGAUUAGAUACCCGCGUA
rnacentral:rRNA from 1 species